UCCUGUUCACCAUUUAAUAAUAUAUAAUUAACUGUAAGAUUAUAUUUAUUUAUUAAGCAUUUUUAGUUAGUUGAAAAUUGGGUUACCUUUAGGAGAUUCGAAAGGUAACUUUUUCGAGGUACUAUGCCACUCCAGUCAUAUUCAUGGUCUUUGUCUUUGAAGUAUUUGUCCACAAACGGAGUUGUGUCCACAAAGAAAAAAUCAGCUAUUUCUGAAAAAUUUUAAAAAAAAUUCCUUGAAAAUGUGAGUUUUAAUUUAUUAAUUAGAGAAAAGGAAAUAUGUAAAUUACCAGUGUCAACGAUAAAAGAUCUCAAGCAAAGCCAUUUGCUAUCAAUUUGUCUAAGGGCUGGACUCAAUUGUGCCUCAACAUCACCCCUAUAGUCAUGGUUACCCAAAACUACAGGAAAAUUUAUAAUCAUUCAAGAAUAAAUUAGUUAGUUAAAGCAUGAACAAAUAAUUAAAUAGCCAUAAUUUUUUAUGUUCUAUUUCUUUUUUUUAUUAUUUAUUUAUAAAUUAAUUAAGAGGAAGAGAUAUACCACUAUACCAUUGCUUCUGCAAGCUGCGUGCCGUGUAAAUUUUGGUGAAAGAUUCAUAAAAUGCAGGAUCAUCCACACCCGUUAAUCCAUUUUCAUAAAAAUUAUCUCCUGUCGAUAUUACAAAAUCGAUGUCCGAUUUCUCUCCAAUUAUUCCCAUCUGCAAACAUCAGUAUAAUUCCCAAUAGAUUAGAUAAUUCAACAAAAUUAUAUAUAUAUAUAAAAAAUAAAUUUAAAACUACAAAAAUUAAAUCCUGUUUAAUAUUUAAAUGCAGAAAUCAUAUUCUUUAAAUAUAUGGCAAAUUGGAUCUAAGUGAAAAUCAAGGAUAUAUUAUUUUAUACGUAAAGGUAACUAACACCAUAACCAUUAUUGUUUUGGGCGACAGAAGGAGAUGCUUUCCUACGAGGCUAUGAUCUCAUAUUCCUCCAUGAAAGGCCAAAGGCAUCUAAAUUCAAAAGAUUGGUAUAUUGGAACCCAAGUGGAAUUAUACUCUGUAAUGGAAUAACAAAAAAUAAACGAAAUGAUGAAGUGGCAUACACCCAUUGGAUGGAUGUCCCAAAUCACAUCAUUAAUUGGUUCCCGGUCAAUUCUACUUUGAAAAUUUUUGGCCUUGGCCUCGCAGCACCAGCAGCGAAGUUUCCUCCGCUACUGGAUACUAGUUCAAUAUAUCACCAGCUUUAAUAAUUUACAAGAAUCUAAACUAAAAAAAUGCAAUUUUUUUUUAAAAAAAAGGUAAAUUUCAAUAUUUCUAACGAUCGAGCAGUUUCUGAAGAAAAAUGCAUGCAAAUGUAAGGAAAGGGAUUAAAGAAAUAUAUAUGUUAGUGUUAUAACCUGAAGAGCAACGUGAGAUUGGUUAUAAGCUCCUUUUCUUCCCCAGUCUCCCACAACCAAGAGGCUAAGAGAUCCAUCACCUUUGGCUGCGUUUUGAAAUCGCUGAAGCUCUGCUGCGCAGAGAUUAAUGAUGCUGAACCCUAAAAGAGCAGAGAGCAUAAGGCUUGAAACCAUAAGUUCAGACAUGGGUAUGCUCGAAGGAGGAGAAGAAGAAGAAGAAGCUAGCUAGUGGAGAGAACUAAUAUAAUUAAAAAUAAUGCUUAAAGCUGGUGGUGAAGGAAAAGGACCAUUUUAUAAAGUUUGAAAGAGGCACAUGGCUGGUAUAAGCAACUAGCUAGGGAAGAAUUAUAUGGGGUGGUGGUGAAAAGAACGAGGGUAAAUAACAAAAACAAUAAUAAUACACACUCUCUCUUUAAUAUGAAUUAUUUAUGUUUUUGUAAAAUAAUACACGUGAAAAAAAUUAUAUUAAUAAAAAUUCAACAAAAUUUAUUAUUUUAGUUAAAUUAAUAUAUUAUUCCUUUCAUUUCAUAAUUUUUAUUCAUUUUUUAUUGUUUUAUAAAAAUUAAAAUAUAAUAAUUAUUUUAGUUAAAUUUAAAUUUUUUUCUAAUAACUUUUUAAUUUUCCAUCUAAUUUUUAUUGAGAUGAUAAAAGUAUUAUUAAUAAUAUAUGGUGUGAAUUAAAUACUAAAAAGUAAUAAAAAUAUCAUAUAUGUAAAAAAUAUGAUAGAUUUUAGCUACUUAUAAAUAUAUAUUGAAUUUUAUUGGUUUAGUAUAUAAACACUCAGGUGUAGGUAAGAAGUAUAUCCAAUUGCAGACAAGCCAAUUUUUUAUCACUAGUUCUUCAAUAAUUCAAUACAUUGUUUAUGUGGUCAAAUCUCUUAUUAUCUUCCAUUUCCUUUGCAUCUCUGAAAAUUUCCUUCUAUUUAGUAUAUCAACCUUUUCUACAAAAAUUAUUUUAAUGAUAUUGAUAAUUAAAGCUAAAAUUUGAACCACAUAAAAUAGGAUAUUAUCGAUCUCAUCUAAACAUGAAGACUUUCACCAUUGAAAUUCAGUUGUGUAUUUAGAGAAAAGUGCUAUUUUUUUUUUUCUUCAUAGUAAGUCUCUAUCAUCUAUUAAAUGGGACAGAAAACUUUUCCUCCUUUCCAUUAGGAGUGUGAAUUUCUCUCCCUACCUCUGAAUAGCUGGAUUUUUUUUUUUUUUGAUUUCUUCGUUUACUGGUAGUUGUGUGGUUAGCUGGAUAUUUUUCUUUUUGUUUCUUCUUUUGUUGGUAGUCGUAUGGUUAUUGAGAGAGGGAAAAGUCAUACCUUGUUGUUGGCCUAGAUUUGGGCUAAAUUUUAUUUAUAUGCAUGUGCUUUUAUCUUUUCAAAAUGAUUUUAAUUUCCUCUAAAUUUGAUAAUUAGUAUCUAACAGUGGCUCGUAGAGCUGAACUUCAAAAAGUGCACAUAGAUUAACAAAGAAUACAUUGCCUAAUAUUUGCUUCGAUUUAUGAAUAAUCUUAAUCUGGUAUUGGUAUACAACAUUUUUAGAGUUUAUUUAUUUGAAACAGAUACCUUUUCGGUCCGGUGUUUUUUAGCUCAUUUAAGUGUUGGAUUCGAUUAUAAAAUUAUACGUUUUUUUUAAAGUUUUAGUUAAAGUUUUAUGAUUUUAAGACUAUUGUGGUUAGAGUUCUUCUAGUCACGUCCGAUACAAUCGUGGACGAUCGAUGUUUUUUAAAGAUUACUAGGUGGAUUUGCUUCAGAAGGAUUUUCUCCAACGGGUCAAAUUCGAGUCAUGGAUGGACUAUUAGAAUUAAACUUGAAUGUUUAGUUUUUUUCAAGACCCUAAAAACUUUAUUGUAUGAUAAAAGGGUAAUUAGAUUUUGUCAAGAGUUUUAAUUAAUACCGUUUGACUAAAACGAUAUAAAAAAAAAAAGAUAAAUCGAAAAAUAAACAGUCUUAUUAAAAAUUUUUAAAUAUUUAAAAGUAUUUUUUUUAAUAUUAAAAAAAAUCUAUUUAUAAUAGAAAAAAAUCAUAAUAUAUAAAAUUAUAAAAACAUUAAAAAAAUAAUUAAAAUAUAAAACUAAUUUUCUAAACGAUUGUAAAAUUGACUCUUAGAAUAAUGUAAAAUAGUUUCCUAUCAUAAUAUAUAAAAUUAUAAAAAUAUUAAAAAAAUAAUUAAAAUAUAAAAUUGAUUCUCUAAACGAUGGUAAUUGACUCUUAGAAUAAUGUAAAAUAGUCAAAGGAAACUAUUUUUAACAGUGUCGUAUGUGUUGAUAUUAUAAAUUUUUAUUUUUAUUAUAAAGUUUAAAUUAAUUAUUACGUGUCAUUGAAUGUAUUAAUCUUAUAGGCUUUGGCCCUUUGUUCAAUGUCAAAGAAAAGAAAAGCUAUGUAUUUUCCUUUAAUUUUCAACUUAUACGUAUUUUCUUUUCAAGUCAAGUCUUUUCAUUAAUUUUUUUAGUCCUUUAUUCUCAUGUAUUCUUUAAUUUUUAAUGCAAAUUCAAUCAUUUUCCUUUAUAUUUUCACCGUUUUAAAUUCCAUUUCACUAGUUACGAGAUUUUUGCAAUUAAUUACAACUUAAAUUUGAAACCUCUCAUCCCUAAACAUGAUUAAAAUUUAUAUAUGUAUCAAAACUAAAUAAUUAUAAUACCAUUGAGUUACUUUUUUUCAUGUUUAUAUAUAUAAUCUGAAUUAAAAACUCAAAUGAAAUCCCAAAUUCCCUGAAAGAUAAUUGAAAAUAAUUGAAAACAUAAAAAAAAGCUACCCUUUUUGAAUUGGUAGUGUCUAAAUAUUCCUUCUCACAUGAACAAAGAUUUCCAGAGGUAGGAAGCAUCACAAUAAUUUCAGCAGCUUGAUUCUAUUGAUGCCCAGUGGACCAGUUUUGAUUGAAAAUAUCUUAUUGUCUAUCCAGUUUUUAUUUUAUAUAUAUUUCAGUUUUUAACUUUGUGUUUUGAAUUUAAAAUUUUAUUUAUAAAACUUUUUUAAAACCCAAGAACAUAAGAUACUUUGUAAAUUGGAUUACCAUUUUAUUAGAAUUCAAAAUUUUACAGUUUUAUAAAUUAUUUAAAUAUUUUAAAAAACUAAAAUUAAUUGAUUUUAUUACAUUUUGUAUGAUAAUUUUUUCUGCUAAUUGAAUUAAGAAAUACAUAAAAUUUCAGUUUCCUCCUUUUUCUUAGUUGCAGCAGAAGAACAAGUUCAAACAAUGGAGUAAGGAUGUUUAUUCCUGCUCCAUUUGUGCAUGAUGUGGCCAGAAACACCAUAGAACACAACAUCCACCUGAGUUUCAGUGAUCUCAACGGACAUGAAACCUUGACCAUCGUAAUAAAACUUCAUCUCCUUUGGAUUCCACCAAUCUACAUCUCCUCUCCAAGCCUUUGACCCUCCUCCACUCGUUAAAAAUUGAAGCUCACUGCAAUCAAUAUAUAUAUAAAUAAAUUAUUCAAAAUUUAUUUAUUAUUAUUAUCUUUGAUGAAUUAAUUAGAUGGCUACUACUAGUGAAAUUUUUACCUUUCACUGCAGCUUAUGUGCUCCAAGCAAUGGUCAUGCCCAUUUAUGUAAAGAUCUACAUUAUUUUCCUGAAGAUCAGAGAUGAUUAAAGGGUUCAUUUUUGUUCAAAAAAAAAAUGAUCAAAUUUAAUUAGAAGAAACCUACCACAAGGAUUGGGAGUAGUUGCAAGUUGAGCUCUUGGGUGUUUCCAUGGUGUCCAGCACUUUUGAUAGUAUGGUGGCCUACCACAAUCUUCCAUCUUGCUGUUGAUUCUUUUAAGGACUUAUCCAAAUCCUGUUCACCAUUUAAUAAUAUAUAAUUAACUGUAAGAUUAUAUUUAUUUAUUAAGCAUAUUUAAUUAGUUGAAAAUUGGGUUACCUUUAGGAGAUUCAAAAGGUAACUUUUUCGAGGUACUAUGCCACUCCAGUCAUAUUUAUGGUCUUUUUCUUUGAAGUAUUUAUCCACAAACGGAGUUGUGUCCACAAAGAAAAAAUCAGCUAUUUCUGAAAAAUUAAAAAAAAAUUCCUUGAAAAUGUGAGUUUUAAUUUAUAAAUUAGAGAAGAGAAAAUAUGUAAAUUACCAG
rnacentral:lncRNA from 1 species